rnacentral:misc_RNA from 1 species
GAUGAAGAUCGCAGCGAAAUGCGAUAAGUAGUGUGAAUUGCAGAAUUCAGUGAAUCAUCGAAUCUUUGAACGCACAUUGCGCCCCUUGGUAUUCCAUGGGGCAUGCCUGUUCGAGCGUCAUUUGUACCUUCAAGCUUUGCUUGGUGUUGGGUGUUUGUCUCGCCUUUGCGUGUAGACUCGCCUUAAAAUAAUUGGCAGCCGGCGUAUUGAUUUCGGAGCGCAGUACAUCUCGCGCUUUGCACUCAUAACGACAGCGUCCAAAAGUACAUUUUACACUCUUGACCUCGGAUCAGGUAGGGAUACCCGCUGAACUUAAGCAUAUCAAUAAGCGGAGGA